rnacentral:rRNA from 1 species
CAAUGUUUCGGUGAAUACGUUCCCGGGCCUUGUACACACCGCCCGUCAAAACCAUGGGAGUCGGGGGGGCCUAAAGUCGGUAACCGCAAGGAGCCGCCUAGGGUAAAACCGAUGACUGGGGGUU